GCCCAGUUGUCACUAAGUUAGAUUCAUUUGAUGUGUGUUUUUCAUUUGUAGGCAGAGUUUCAUUUUGAGCAGGGACUAGAUGAUUUUGGUGUGGUUUGGGGAAAUUGGCUAACUAUUUUCUGUUUAGAGUUUUGAGUACCUGAGAUGUAGUUUCAGCGAAAGUGUGUUACCAAUUGGGAAAAACUGUAAUACUACUGGGAUUUAGAGAGAGAGAGAGAGAGAGUGUGUGAACUACUUGCAUGUCUAUCUACUGUGUGUGACUGUGUGUGUAUAUGAGAGGGGCAAAAUAUUGUGUGUGUGAGUGUGUGUGGCAAAGUGUGUGUGAUGUCUAUCUGAAUGUUAUGUGUGUAUUUGAGAGAGAGACUGAAUGUGUGGGUGAAUGUGUGUGUGUUUAUGUGUGUGUGUGUGUGGGGGGGGCAAAGUGUGUGUGAUGUCUAUCUGAAUGUUAUGUGUAUAUUUGAGAGAGAGGCUUAGUGUGUGUGUGUGUGUGUGUGUGGUGGUGGAGAAGCCAAGAGGGAUGCUAUCACUGGGCUUAAAGAGAAGAACUCUUCCAUUGCUGGGCAACCUUCAACCUCCCUUCACAUUAGUUAUGUAGGAGAACCCAAGCAGUGGGGGAGGAAGAUGACAGAACAUACAGAUAGGGGAGGAAGAUGACAGAUAGGGGAGGAAGAUGACAGAACACACAGAUAGGGGAGGAAGAUGACAGAUAGGGGAGGAAGAUGACAGAACAUACAGAUAGGGGAGGAAGAUGACAGAACAUACAGAUAGGGGAGGAAGAUGACAGAAUUUACAGAUAGGGAGGAAGAUGACAGAACAUACAGAUAGGGGAGGAAGAUGACAGAACAUACAGAUAGGGGAGGAAGAUGACAGAACAUACAGAUAGGGGAGGAAGAUGACAGAACGUACAGAUGGGGAGGAAGAUGACAGAACACACAGAUAGGGGAGGAAGAUGACAGAACACACAGAUAGGGGAGGAAGAUGACAGAACACACAGAUAGGGUAGGAAGAUGACAGAACACACAGAUAGGGGAGGAAGAUGACAGAAUAUACAGAUAGGGGAGGAAGAUGACAGAAUUUACAGAUAGGGGAGAAGAUGACAGAAUAUACAGAUAGGGGAGGAAGAUGACAGAAUAUACAGAUAGGGGAGGAAGAUGACAGAACAUACAGAUAGGGGAGGAAGAUGACAGAAUAUACAGAUGGGGAGGAAGAUGACAGAAUAUACAGAUAGGGGAGAAAGAUGACAGAACAUACAGAUAGGGGAGGAUGUGAGAGGGAGGGUGAAGAACAGUACCAUCCAUUGUCCUCUCUGGCUUUUCUCAAAGAAAUUCAUUUUAUAUUGAUAAAAUGCUUUAAAAGCAAUGCAUAAACAUAAAUCCAACAACGUAGUCUAAAACAUACUGUACGUACAUUUCCAUCGCUAUAAUACACAAGACA
rnacentral:lncRNA from 1 species